CGAGCGAACGGACGAGAAGCUUGCUUCUCUGAUGUUAGCGGCGGACGGGUGAGUAACACGUGGAUAACCUACCUAUAAGACUGGGAUAACUUCGGGAAACCGGAGCUAAUACCGGAUGAUAUUUUGAACCGCAUGGUUCAAAAGUGAAAGACGGUCUUGCUGUCACUUAUAGAUGGAUCCGCGCUGCAUUAGCUAGUUGGUAAGGUAACGGCUUACCAACGCAACGAUGCAUAGCCGACCUGAGAGGGUGAUCGGCCACACUGGAACUGAGACACGGUCCAGACUCCUACGGGAGGCAGCAGUAGGGAAUCUCCCGCAAUGGGCGAAAGCCUGACGGAGCAACGCCGCGUGAGUGAUGAAGGUCUUCGGAUCGUAAAACUCUGUUAUUAGGGAAGAACAUAUGUGUAAGUAACUGUGCACAUCUUGACGGUACCUAAUCAGAAAGCCACGGCUGACUACGUGCCAGCAGCCGCGGUAAUACGUAGGUGGCAGCGUUAUCCGGAAUUAUUGGGCGUAAAGCGCGCGUAGGCGGUUUUUUAAGUCUGAUGUGAAAGC
rnacentral:rRNA from 1 species